ACUCCUACGGGAGGCAGCAGUGGGGAAUUUUGGACAAUGGGCGCAAGCCUGAUCCAGCAAUGCCGCGUGCAGGACGAAGGCCUUCGGGUUGUAAACUGCUUUUGUACAGAACGAAACGGUUUGGGUUAAUACCCUGAGCUAAUGACGGUACUGUAAGAAUAAGCACCGGCUAACUACGUGCCAGCAGCCGCGGUAAUACGUAGGGUGCAAGCGUUAAUCGGAAUUACUGGGCGUAAAGCGUGCGCAGGCGGUUAUAUAAGACAGAUGUGAAAUCCCCGGGCUCAAGCCUGGGAACUGGCAAUUUGUGACUGUUAUGGCUGGAGUACGGCA
rnacentral:rRNA from 1 species